rnacentral:tRNA from 1 species
CCCUGGUUAGCUCAAGUGAUAGAGCGCUCCACAGGAAAUGGAAAGAUCCCGAGUUCGAAACCCGGACCAGGCG